rnacentral:rRNA from 1 species
GAUGAACGCUGGCGGCGUGCCUAAUACAUGCAAGUCGAGCGAACGGACGAGAAGCUUGCUGCUCUGAUGUUAGCGGCGGACGGGUGAGUAACACGUGGAUAACCUACCUAUAAGACUGGGAUAACUUCGGGAAACCGGAGCUAAAACCGGCUGAUAUUUUGAACCGCAUGGUUCAAAAGUGAAAGACGGUCUUGCUGUCACUUAUCGAUGGAUCCGGGCUGCAUUAGAUAGUUGGUAAGGUAAAGGCUUACCAAGGCAACGAUGCAUAGCCGACCUGAGAGGGUGAUCGGCCACACUGGAACUGAGACACGGUCCAGACUCCUACGGGAGGCAGCAGUAGGGAAUCUUCCGCAAUGGGCGAAAGCCUGACGGAGCAACGCCGCGUGAGUGAUGAAGGUCUUCGGAUCGUAAAACUCUGUUAGUAGGGAAGAACAUAUGUGUAAGUAAAUGUGCACAUCUUGACGGUACCUAAUCAGAAAGCCACGGCUAACUACGUG